rnacentral:rRNA from 1 species
CGCUUCUUUUUCCNCCGGAGCUUGCUCCACCGGAAAAAGAGGAGUGGCGAACGGGUGAGUAACACGUGGGUAACCUGCCCAUCAGAAGGGGAUAACACUUGGAAACAGGUGCUAAUACCGUAUAACAAUCGAAACCGCAUGGUUUUGAUUUGAAAGGCGCUUUCGGGUGUCGCUGAUGGAUGGACCCGCGGUGCAUUAGCUAGUUGGUGAGGUAACGGCUCACCAAGGCGACGAUGCAUAGCCGACCUGAGAGGGUGAUCGGCCACAUUGGGACUGAGACACGGCCCAAACUCCUACGGGAGGCAGCAGUAGGGAAUCUUCGGCAAUGGACGAAAGUCUGACCGAGCAACGCCGCGUGAGUGAAGAAGGUUUUCGGAUCGUAAAACUCUGUUGUUAGAGAAGAACAAGGAUGAGAGUAACUGUUCAUCCCUUGACGGUAUCUAACCAGAAAGCCACGGCUAACUACGUGCCAG